GGGGAUUUAGCUCAGUGGUAGAGCGCUUGCCUAGCAAGCAUAAGGCCCUGGGUUCGGUCUCCAGCUCCG
rnacentral:tRNA from 1 species